rnacentral:ncRNA from 1 species
ACUGAUAAAGCCAAACUUGUCGUGAGGCAGGGACGGAAAGCCACAGGUCUUUUAGAAGAUAGCUGGGCUGCCAGAA